GAUUCGCUCGGGUAUGGAGCAGACAAUGCCUUUGCGACCCUGCAGCCCGGGGCAUCCCUGCGGGGAGUCAUGAUGCCUGCUGCUGUCGUGCCUACCAGACGCUUGUGGAAUUGCUUCCAAAUGAAAUGAGUCCUGGCUAGGGUUGUGGUUGGAAUUUAGGUCUGCCAUCGCCUUGGAUGGCUUCUGCAAGUGAUCUCUCUGAAAAAAUUUUUCAGAUAGAGGACAAAAUAAAAGAGAAGAACAGAAAGAAGAUAACAGUAGCGCCGAAUGCAGCAAACUAGGAAACAUGGAUCUGAAAUUCAGUUCGUCAAGAAAAUACAUUUCCAUCAGCGUACCUUCCAAAUCUCAGGCUAUGUCGCCUCAUAUCAAAUCAGUAGAUGAUGUUGUAGUUCUUGGCAUGAAUCUGAGCAAAUUUAACAAACCUACUCAAUUUUUCAUUUGUGUUUCUGGAGUUUUUAUGUUUUAUCUAAUCUAUGGAUAUUUACAGGAACUAAUAUUUUCAGUGGACGGUUUUAAACCCUUUGGUUGGUACCUUACUUUAGUGCAAUUUGGAUUUUAUUCCAUUUUUGGACUAAUAGAAUUGCAGCUGAUUCAGGACAAAAGGAGAAGAAUUCCUGGGAAAACCUACAUGAUAAUAGCCUUUUUAACAGUGGGAACUAUGGGUUUGUCAAAUACCUCUUUAGGAUAUCUAAAUUACCCUACUCAAGUCAUCUUCAAGUGCUGUAAACUGAUUCCAGUUAUGAUAGGCGGGGUUUUUAUACAAGGAAAGCGUUAUAAUGUUGCAGAUGUCUCUGCUGCCCUGUGUAUGAGUCUUGGAUUAAUAUGGUUUACUUUAGCUGACAGCACAGUUGCACCAAACUUCAACUUGACAGGUGUGGUCCUAAUAUCCCUUGCCCUCUGUGCAGAUGCAAUUAUAGGAAACGUACAGGAAAAAGCUAUGAAGUUGCACAAUGGUUCUAAUUCAGAAAUGGUUUUGUAUUCCUAUUCAAUAGGUUUUGUGUAUAUUUUAUUGGGAUUAACAUGCACUAGCGGAUUAAGCCCUGCAGUAACAUUUUGCUCAAAGCAUCCAGUUCAGACUUACGGUUAUGCAUUCUUUUUCUCCCUGACUGGAUAUUUUGGAAUAUCCUUUGUUCUAGCUUUGAUUAAAAUCUUUGGUGCCCUUCUGGCUGUAACAGGUUACCUUUUCUUAUAACUACAAACACCAGUCCCAAGGGACUGGGGGGGGAGGUGUAGCAAGAUGCCAUGGAACUGCUUUCCUCUCCUCCCUCUGCCCCCAAAAGCUGGUUUCUGUCAGUAACAACAGGAAGAAAAGCAAUGACCAUUGUGCUUUCUUUUUUGUUCUUUGCAAAGCCAUUCACUUUCCAGUAUGUGUGGUCAGGCUUACUGGUUGUCCUUGGUAUAUUUCUGAAUGUUUACAGUAAGAAUAUGGAUAAAAUCAAACUGUCUUCACUGCAUGGUCUUUGGAAAAAAAGUGUGGAAGAAAGAAAAACAAGGACGUUGUCACAAACUGUAUAGACAUGUCAUGUCUAGAGUAUGACUUACUAUUAUUACUGUUUUACUGGAACAGUCUUCAACUGAUUCACUUUCCAAAGGGAACAUUAUUAAAACCAAAGGAGCUGAAGGCAUAUCGUCUGCUAGCAGAUUGCUGGAAAUGCACGUUUUGUGAGCCCUUGUGAGCCCUUCAGGGCACUUGCGUUCAUCAUAAAAGGUGUUACAGGCAUUAUCAGAUGGCAUUAUCAGGCAAUGAAGGACAGCAGCUCCUGGCGGAUUGCUGAGAAGCUGCACUCCAAGUGAGACACCGUAGAAGUAUAAGUUGGGCAUUUUAAUGAUCCUGGCCGUGUGGCUGAUGUGAGAUUAGUAGUUCUUUGUCUUUAUUAAUUGUUUGGGUGGGAUUAUUUAAACAUUAUACUGUAUUAACAUUUAAUGGAACUUAAUCAGCAACUGGUUGACCAAAACAGCAAUUUUUAACACUGGAAAAUUUAGAACAUGUUAUGUUGUCACUCAUUUUAAAUAAAAAAAGUGCUUUUUUUUUUUUUUUAAAGUCUUGAUCGUAUCAUCCCAGAACUCGGUAUUUAUUGUCAUAAUUGAAAUUUUUGUUGAAUGUCAAGUUGUGUUAUUCUUUGCCAUUAUUGCUCGCAAGUAAUGAAAAUGAGAUUGAUUUGGUGGAGUCAAAACCUGUGCUUUUACUCAGGUAGGAUGUUUUUUUAGGCCUGAACUAGGUGUGAAUGUAGAAUGGAAAAAGUCAUGGUAGAAACAAUUAUAUAAUAAGCUGCAAUCUACUUAUUUUGUAGUGAAGUACUAAUGUUUUAGUAAAUCUUGACCCUCCAUGUCACCACGGUAUAAAUAAACAUUGAGGGAAAUCCUUUAGAUUAGUAUCCUCAACUCUCACUUCCAAUAUUGAAGUAAAGAAUAGCAGCAUCUGCUAAUAUAUGUAGGAUAGGUAUGUGUCAAUAUUUGUCUGGUUCUGUGAUGGAUUUAAGAAGUUUAGGGUACAGAUUACAAUUUUCUUUAUUAAAUGACAGGAAGAGACAGUGUACUGCCAUCCUUUAUCUUUCAUUUUGAAUUUAGGAAGAUUCCAAUAUUGCUAUUGUACAGUCAGUUUCUCUGUCUUGCUUUCAAAUUCAAAUCACUUUUGGACCACUUGCCAUAUUUGUCAUUUUAUAUAUUUAAUAAUAGCAUGUUAAAAUACUAAUUACCUUGCAGUUCAGUGUUCUCUUAUAGCCGAAUUUUUUUGGUAUUUCCCUUAACUACAUUUUGAUUUAUGUUCAUUCAUACAAAAUGAAUGACUUAUUCCAACUGGGCAAAUUUAAACUUGAUAAUAGAAUUGUAUAGUCAGUGAAUGUACAAAAAAUUGAAGACUCUCACAGGAUUUACUGCCUUCUGCCAAAAGCAUUAUUUAUGAAAAUGUCCAAGAAGUACAAAAUCUUCUUCAGGCAUUUAGGAAGACAACUGCUGCUCUAAGGAGCUUUUAAUCAAAGCACAGUCGCAGAACGUUCCUUAAGUUUUGCUAUUGAGUUAGUAGCAUAUGCUGUGGUAGGUAUGCUACGCAGCAAGACUUGAAAUAUUGUAGCUGUAUUAGCAUGAUGGGACAAAUAAGUGAAGUGGAGAGCUGCACUAACAUAACUGCAGUGCUUCCAGCACUCAAGCUACUUCUGGUAUGUCAGCAUAGCCCUUCAGUCCAUAAAGACGUAGCCAUUGUUGCUAAGUCAUGAGAUUUUAUUGUGAGUAUGGCAAUUUUGUUCUCUAAAUUCCCAGCUGCUAUGUUGAUUGAUUGUGUCCUGGGCAAGGGAGGGAGGUGCUAAUGUGACAAACAGAUACACCUUGAAAGAGAAUGGCUGCAACAUAAGAACAGAUAGUGAUGAUAACCAUGGCAAGCCAAAGUUUUCUGGUGAGGUAUGAAAAGGGUUACAAUUUCAAAUUUGAUGCUGGAGUGGAUUUGGACCAAGUCAGAGGGAUUGGCAUGUGUUUCCUUUUCCAUAAUUUUUAUCAACUCUUAUGUUUCUUGCAUUCCUCUACCUAAAUGUAAAUGGCUAUUUCCAGUGAGGUUAAGUUACGUACCACGCUUAAAAGAGGGGCAGGUUUUGAACCAAUGAAAAGAAAGUAAUUACAGAACUUUGACUGCUGUGUUCACUGGCUCGAUGUUAGCACUUGAGCAUCAGUUUUGACAGUUUUUCAAUGUCAGUUUUGCCGUUUGUAAACUGUUGCUAAACUUCAUUGAACUUCCUGGGAGCCAAACUGUAUGAAUGCUACCAUGCAUGUAGAAAGUAAUAAUAAAAAUAAUUCAUUUGGUACUGGUUUUAUAUAAAUAGAUGAGAAGUCACUCCCAACUUGUCUGAUUGGAAUUAAAAUAUAGUAUGUAGGUUGCAGAACUGUUUAUAUAAUCCAGUUUUGUCUGAAUUUACUCUCUUCAGAAUUGUUCUGUGUUCAGAAUUAUUUGCCUUAUAACUUAUUCUGUAUCAUAUACAAGACUGAAUUGAUGGAAUAUUCGGUAAACAAAGUUUUGAAUUUUUUUUUUUAACUAUGGAAAGGUUUGUUUUGUCUUACAGGUAUUUGGUACUUUUUUUAAAAAAUGUGGAUUUUAUAGACAAACCAAUAUUGUAGAUUUUAUUAUUAAUAGCAUAAAUUUAAGAGUCAGGUUUUUAUUUUCAUAGGUGUGAGUUUAGUACUCAUUAAUCACCAAUAUGCAACUAUGUUAAAGAAAAUACUUACAGAAGUGUGAGAAGUCCAUAAUUUGCCACCUUUCAUAGUCUGUGCAGUUUCGUGCUCAUGUCACAGUUCAUGUCACUGAGACAUUAAGAAAACAUUUAUUUCGGUGAUGUAAUUUUUUAAUAAUGAGCUUUGUAGCACAGUGAGCUUUAUGCAAAUAAGAGAACCUUACAAACCUUCAAGUAUUCUUAUUACAAAGUUAUGUUUUAGAAACUUCUGUACCGUAUAUGUAUAUUGUUUUUGUGUUGCCUAUGAAAUAUGAGUAAGGGCUUGUCCACAAAGUAACUCCCAAUUCUUUAAUUUUGAAGUAAGAACACUUAUACUGGGAUGUAGGUUAACCCUUCUUAAUGUUCCUAUAUAGGCUGAUCAUAGUAACUUUUACAUUUAUAUUCAUUAGCUCCUGGACCUUCAUGCAAUAGGCAUUAUGAAACUACAGAAUAAAAAGAUAAUUUCUUUCACCAUAAAAAUUAUCAUCUAAAUAUAAUGUGAAUUAGUUGGUUUUUAUUCUCAUGCUGCAAAACUUUCUUUUCCUAUCAGGAAAAAUGUGAUAUAAGAAUUAGUUACAGUGAGUACCAAUGGGGUUGAAGUUCAUACUAAAAUUUAAGGCUGUCCAAGCUCUCCAUUGAUGUAAGUGAUCUAUCUCCAUAACAUCCUCCAUCUCCGUCUCCUUUGGAGGACAGAGGAAGUUCUAUUUGCCUAAAUUAGUAUGUGUUUGCUAUUGUUUUCACAUUGCAUUUUUACAUUUACUUGGUACUCUUGCAUACCAAAAUAAUUGACUGUGCAGUGGGUUUCUUCAAUAUGUCACUAUGUCAGUACUAACAAACUGCUAAUUAUUCUAAUAUCUAUAUGUGAAUGCAACUGUGGGAAAACUA